rnacentral:rRNA from 1 species
UACGUAGGGUGCGAGCGUUGUCCGGAAUUAUUGGGCGUAAAGAGCUUGUAGGCGGUCUGUCGCGUCGGGAGUGAAAACUCAGGGCUUAACCCUGAGCCUGCUUCCGAUACGGGCAGACUAGAGGUAUGCAGGGGAGAACGGAAUUCCUGGUGUAGCGGUGGAAUGCGCAGAUAUCAGGAGGAACACCCGUGGCGAAGGCGGCUCUCUGGUACGUGACUGACGCUGAGACGCGAAAGCGUGGGGAGCGAACAGG